CGCCGCUUUUGGGGCGUAUUCAACUGCCUGUGCGCCGGCGCGUUCGGGGCCCUGGCCGCCGCCUCCGCCAAGCUGGCCUUCGGCAGCGAGUUCGCUCUCGGGGAAGACCUACACCUCCUACAUCCACCCUCUACCUCUCAUUUUAAGUCCCUUGUGCCUGAACAUUUCUCUCCACGUGACUCUUAAGGUGAGAAGCCUGUUGCCCAUCCCUUUACUCCGUAAUUAACGGGUAUUGUGACCAGAUGAGCUGUCUGCCCCACUACCAGGAAAAUUGGGAGUUUGGGAUACUGUAGGCAUAAGCAGAUACUGACAGAGACGUUCUGGUUGUUUUCCUGACGCUGAGAACUCCCAAACUUGCCUCCUGGCGUCUGCUAAGGUGUAUCUCUGCCUCUCCCGUCCCAUGUCGUAGACCAGCCUCUGCUUGCUAGAGGGGUUUCAUUGCAUCUGCAGCCCAGGGUUAGCCUCUGACCUGGACAGUGGUCACUGAUUAUUUAGGGUUAAGCCUAUUUAGGGCUAAUCCAGUAGGAGCUGCCAUGCUUGAGGUUAGUAUCCCAUUGGGUGUAGUUCAUAGGGUAGGUGGUCGAAAGUAAAAUGAAUAACCUUUUAUGGGCCGUGAAGUUUGUUGUCAUGAACCAGACCUUCAUAACCCUUUAUGUAAGCAGGUUGCCACUGGCCCAUAUGCUGCUUUGUGUAAGACAAGGUUGUCCAACUCGCGACCCAACACAAAUUUGUAAACUGAAAACAUGAAUUUUUUUGCGAUUUUAUUUGUACUGUUUUUAGCUCAUCAGCUAUCAUUAGUGCUAGUGUAUUAUAUGUGUGACCCAAUACAAUUCUUCCAGUGUGGCCCAGGGAAGCCAAAAGACUGGACACUCUGGUGUAAGUUAUAAGAAAGCACCUUUUUCUCAAGACACUAUGUGUUCCGCUGCUGAGAAACCACUACAAGUAAUAAGUAUGAUACUUAGAUUCCGCCCCCCGCACCCUCCCCUCCUCGCCUUGUCUCCAGGCCGGCUUCUAACUCACCACCAAGCAAGGGGGGCUGCAUAUGCUUUGUGUAGGAGGCUUCUAAAGAUCCUCUCUUUUCUUGAGACUUUCUCCUUUAAAAAAGAAAGAAAAUAUCUGCAAGUUCUCCAAGGAAUGUCUGGGAUCACUAAAUAGUCUGAGGUGGUGUUUCCCCCAGGCAGGACUGUGUCCUAGUUAACAGCAUGGAGGUACACUGCCUGAUUGUGAAGCCUGGUGGCUCUCAUCACUGUAGCACUUUAAGAAAGUUACUUAAUGCCCGUGGGUCUUUAUCUGUAAAAUGAAGUUAAGGAAUAAAUGAGAAUGCUUAAACUCUUAGCACAGGGCCUAACACAGAGUAAAAGCUCAAGAAUGCCCAGAGGGGGUGAGCCUUGCUGGGCUAUAACUUGUAUAGGAUUUGGGGGUGGGAAUACAGAGCAGACAUCGCUAAUUCGUGCUUUCCCUGAUCUCAAGAAGUAAGAACUCCAUCCCUGACUUAACUCAUACUACCUACGGAGUAAGAACUACUUGGCCCUCUGGGACUGAUCUUCAGGCACUGGUCAUUGUAAGACCAAUAAGGGGCUGGUGUCAGUAGAAAAUACUGACUUUGGAUUAGCAUUUUGCUUCUUCCCAAGAUCGUAUGGCCAGCAAGGUGGCCAAAUGAGUGUCUUCUCUGAAUUUGCUUUACUUGUAAGAUGGGUCUGCUGCCCACUGAGGGUUAAAUGAAGCCCUGUGCAGAAAAGCUCUGAGGCCCUCUGAGCUGUAGUGGGAGCUCAGUAGGAGCCUGGGUGCCAGCAGCCACAGCGCUGGCUGUGCUGUGAGGGGGUCUGCAGGUUGCUGUGCAGGGUGGAUGUGGCUGCAGUGACACUUUCUCCUGCAGGUGAGCAUGGGUUUAUGCAUCUUAGGCAUUAUUGUGAUGGCGAGCACCAAUUCUCUGAUGUGGACCUUCUUUAGCCGGGGCCUCAGUUUCUCCA